ACGUCAGAGCAAUUUUGUCGCCUGGGUUCUAGAGAAUCCCUCUGGCGGUAGCCAGAGAGGCCUUAAGUAGUCCUAGACCUCUGCUCUGUGCCAGCAGGUUUGGUUGCUAACUCACCAGUUCUAAUACCAAUGGGUCUGGGAGUCCAGAUGCCAGGGUUCCAGGGACAAACUUCAGUGAAAUCCCAGACAGACAUGAGAGCAGGGGGCAGUGGGGCCUCUCCUUGCUCUGGGAGCUGUGCGCUAUGUGUGAGAAAAAAGCACAAGACACUUGUGUUCAGUGGCCCGGCCGCCAAGAGGAUUCUCACAGUCCUCUUUGCCCUAAAGAAUGGAAGUCCCAACAUUAGGGCCCUUCAAAGUCACUUUGGUGGGCCCCUGACAAACCCGAGACGAGUGGCCUCUACCAGAACUCCCAGUGGCAGUCAGCUCCUGGGGUGGCCACUCCCUUCUGGAUGGCUCUGUCACACAAGUCUCCUUCAUGUCAAGCCAAAUUCUGGCUUCCCAUAGCUUCAUUCCAAAAAUCCUAGUUCUACACCUCAGGGCCAUAUAUAACCAGUCCAAUUCUGCCACCCACCUAAGAAUCAACCUGGCAACCUGGAGAUGGUGGCCAUGCCUCUCUAGGCAUUUUCUCUUACAAGUGGAUCUUCCUUGGAACACUGCUGGGAAGACAAAUCCAGGUGGCUGAAUCCCAGGAUCAGAAACCACCAAACCACAAGAUCACAGGUCAUAUCUCCAGAGUUACAGGUGACUUGGGCCCUUCUCAGGCAACCUGGCCAAGAAGACCCAAGGAGGACUUCCCUGGUAGCACAGUGGUUGAGAAUCCGACUGCCAAUGCAGGGGACGCGGGUUCGAGCCCUGGUCCGGGAAGAUCCCACAUGUUGCGAAGCAACUAAGCCCAUGCGCCACAACUACUGAGCCUGUGCCCUAGAGCCCAUGAGCCACAACUGCUGAGACCGCGUGUUACAACUACUGACGCCUGCGCACCUAGAGCCUGUGCUCCGCAACAAGAGAAGCUACUGUGAUGAGAAACCCACGCACUGCAACGAAGAGUAGCCCCCACUCGCCACAACUAGAGAAAGCCCACACGCAGCAACGAAGACCCAACGCAGCC
rnacentral:lncRNA from 1 species